rnacentral:rRNA from 1 species
UACGGAGGUCCCAAGCGUUAUCCGGAUUUACUGGGCGUAAAGAGUUGCGUAGGUGGCUUGUUAAGCGAGAUAUUAAAGCGUGUGGCUCAACCAUAUCGAUAUGUUUCGAACUGAUAAGCUUGAGAACAAUAGAGGUAAUUGGAAUUCCAAGUGUAGGAGUGAAAUCCGUAGAUAUUUGGAGGAACACCAAUGGCGUAGGCAGAUUACUGGAUUGUUUCUGACACUGAGGCACGAAAGCAUGGGUAGCAAACGGG